UUCUUAUCAAGAGAGGCGGAGGGACUGGCCCUGUGAAGCCCAGCAACCAAUAUUAUUAAUUUGCUUUUAAUAAGUGUAUUUAGGCUUUUAUUAGUAAUAUUAAAAUAUAGUGGUGCUAAUUCCUGCAGAUUUAACUGAGAGAUAAGUG
rfam:Clostridium ventriculi strain 2789STDY5834858 genome assembly, contig: SCcontig000007